CUUGGGGGAAGGGCAGCCAAUACGGUUGGGGUGAGCACAAGAAACGUCCCACACAGUUUCCAGAGCCAGAGAAGGGUUUCCAUGUCCAGCUGCCACAAGACUGAGAGGUGCGCAGUUGAUCUCAAAGCCAGGUACAGGUUGGGUAGUUGUGGCAUCUCCAGUUGUGUAUAGGAAAGCUAAUGUGAACCUCCAAGCUUCAAGAUGUCCUUCAGCCCUGCUUUCAAGUUAGCAAGAUGCCAAGAUCUGUAAGUGAAACUAACUGAGGCCCGUAUGGAGGCUGAAAAGGAGCCUGGAAGAGAAACAGAAGAUGAGAUGACAUUCCGGGAGAAGUCCACAUGAAGAUGGAGGCAGAGAUGGGAGUGAUGCAGCUACAAGCCAAGGAAUGCCGGCAGCCACCAAAGAGCCUCUUAGAUCCUGUGGGAACCUGACUGGACACUUAAGCACCGGAGUGUGUCACAUCCUCUGCUCCACUGCUGCAUCCCCAUCGCGUUCCUGACCUGAACCCAUUGUGUGUUCUGGGGCACAAGGAUAGUCACUGACUCUCUUGUCCUUCCUGCAUUCAGAUGCAGGCACCUUCAGAUGUGUCACUGGCAAAUAUGUUCUUCCACUCAGUGGGUUCCUUUUCAUUUUGAUGGUUUCUUUUGCUGUGCAGAGGCUUUUUGAUUUGAUGUAGUCCCAUUUGUUUAUUUUUUUCUUUGUUUCCCUUGCCCUAGGAGAUUUAUUGGCAGUAAUAAUGCUACGUGAGCUAUCUGAAUUUUACUGCCCAUGUUUUCUUCUAGGAUUUUUAUGGCUUUGUGACUUACAUUUAAGUCCUUUAUUCAUUUUGAGUUUAUUCUUGUGUAUGGUAUAAGUUGGUGGUCUAGUUUCAUUUUUUUUCAUGUAUUUGUCAAAUUUUCCCAGCACCAUUUAUUGAAGAGACUGUAUUUACUCCAUUGUAUGCUCUUGCCUCUUUUGUCAACUAUUAAUUGGCCAUAGAGAUGUGGGUUCAUGGGACUAUAACAUUCCUCCCCAAGGCUCCAGCUCACAUAAGGAAUGUUCUCCAGUACUUAUGUACUUCAGAGAUGAAAAUUUUUGACUCCACAAUUCAAGAGGUUUUAAAAAAUCAUAGCUAUUUGGAUUAAAUGUGAACAGCAUAACAUAGAAAUAAAGUCCACACGAAAUAUUGGGUUUUAAAAAAUUAUUGGAAAGACAGGAUGGGAAGAAUGUGUGUGUGUUUUGGUGAUGGGGAAGAAUGCUAAGUCCUUGUCUUCUGAGAGGGACCAUCUUGGAUAAUACCUAAUAUGAAAGAAAGGGAAUAUCUCACCUGUGAACAAUUGCAUGCUGGGAAGUGAGUAACAUCUCUUCAGAUCUCAAGCACUUUUUCUUCAGUAAAACUGAAAAUCUAUACCCAUUAAAACAGUGACCUAUUUUAUCCUCCCCCAAGUACCCCACAAUGACCAAUGUUCUUUGUUUCUGUAAAUGUGAAUACUUGAGAUACCUCAUAUAAGUGGAACAUACGUUUUCUGUCUUCCUGUGACUGGCUUGUUUCACUUAGCAUCAUAUUGAGAAUUACCCCCCUUAAGGCUGAAUAAUAUUCUGUUGUAUAUGUAUAUACCACAUUUUAUUUUCCCAUUACUCUGUGUAUGGAUAAUUGGAUUGCUUCUGCCUCUUGGAUAUUAUGAAUAAUGCUGCAAUGAAAAUGGA